rnacentral:rRNA from 1 species
AUUGAACGCUGGCGGCAGGCUUAACACAUGCAAGUCGAGCGGGGAAGGGUAGCUUGCUACCUGACCUAGCGGCGGACGGGUGAGUAAUGCUUAGGAAUCUGCCUAUUAGUGGGGGACAACAUUCCGAAAGGAAUGCUAAUACCGCAUACGCCCUACGGGGGAAAGCAGGGGAUCUUCGGACCUUGCGCUAAUAGAUGAGCCUAAGUCAGAUUAGCUAGUUGGUGGGGUAAAGGCCUACCAAGGCGACGAUCUGUAGCAGGUCUGAGAGGAUGAUCCGCCACACUGGGACUGAGACACGGCCCAGACUCCUACGGGAGGCAGCAGUGGGGAAUAUUGGACAAUGGGCGCAAGCCUGAUCCAGCCAUGCCGCGUGUGUGAAGAAGGCCUUUUGGUUGCAAAGCACUUUAAGCGAGGAGGAGGCUACUUGGAUUAAUACUCUAGGAUAGUGGACGUUACUCGCAGAAUAAGCACCGGCUAACUCUGUGCCAGCAGCCGCGGUAAUACAGAGGGUGUGAGCGUUAAUCGGAUUUACUGGGCGUAAAGCGUGCGUAGGCGGCUUUUUAAGUCGGAUAUGAAAUCCCUGAGCUUAACUUAGGAAUUGCAUUCGAUACUGGGAAGCUAGAGUAUGGGAGAGGAUGGUAGAAUUCCAGGUGUAGCGGUGAAAUGCGUAGAGAUCUGGAGGAAUACCGAUGGCGAACGCAGCCAUCUGGCCUAAUACUGACGCUGAGGUACGAAAGCAUGGGGAGCAAACAGG